rnacentral:rRNA from 1 species
GACGAACGCUGGCGGCGUGCUUAACACAUGCAAGUCGAACGAAGAGCGAUGGAAGCUUGCUUCUAUCAAUCUUAGUGGCGAACGGGUGAGUAACGCGUAAUCAACCUGCCCUUCAGAGGGGGACAACAGCGGGAAACGACUGCUAAUACCGCAUGCGAUCUAAACUCGGCAUCGAGGGGAGAUGAAAGGUGGCCUCUACACGAAAGCUAUCACUGAAGGAGGGGAGUGCGUUGGAUUGGCAAGCUGGGGGGGUUACGGCCCACCAAGGGGAGGCCCAGUAGACGGUCUUGGAGGGUGGACCGCCCACAUGGGAACUGGGAACGGCCCCAGCUCCUUCCGGGGGCAGCAGUGGGGGAACUUCCGACAUGGGGGGAAGUCUGACGGAGCCACGGCGCGGUGUGGAAAGCGGCCUUCGGGUUGUUAAACUCUGUUAAGCGGGACGAAAGGGCUUCUUGCGAAUAGCGAGAAGGAUUGACGGUACCGGAAGAGAAAGCCACGGCUAACUACGUG